ensembl:lncRNA
CCAGGAGACCGUGGACAGUGUAGACACUGUGGAGAGAGUCGAUACUGGGGAUCAGCCCUUGCCCUCCUCCACUUCUGACGCUGGGACACAAUGUUAUUUGAAGCCCCCCCGAUGGUCUCACUGUAAAUCUUUGGUAUUUUAAGGGGUAGAUAUUAUGUCUAAAACAUUGCAAGCAGGACAUUUCCAUACACAUUGAUGAAAUGAAUACAUAGCCUACACCAAAACAUAGCCGCUUAGAUUUGCCAUGAUUGUCAUAUGUUUGGGUAUGUUUACUGCCUCUGCCACAGCUGUGCAGGUUAACCUGAAGCCAAAGAUGGUUAGCGUGGGCACACAGACUUCAUUCAGCCCACAAACCUCCACUCCCCUCGCUAGUCCUGAACAGACAGUUGACGAUGAUGAUGAUAAUGCCACUGUCGUCAGUGACUUUUCGUGGGUGCCCGAAGAGCCGAUGGAUGAGGAGGAAUUGUUUGAUGAGGAGCCACCUUACACGUGUGACCCCCACCACAAGCUCAUUGGCAGCAGUCAAGUUGGAGAACAUAAUGAUGAGGACUGCCUUACUGAAAGAUGUUCGACAGCUGUCUCCACAGCACCAGACCUUCUCCCUUGAGGCUUACCACUCCCUCAUCUUGCACUUCGCGCCCAAGCACACAGGGUUUUCAUACCUUGGGAUGUAUAGCAGUACGGAGAAGUGACGGGACGGAGAAGUACUGCGUGCGGUAUCCGCGCUUCAGAAAAGGUGCCCAUGUGGUGCGUCCCAUCAAAGAGGCAGCCUCAUACGGUUAUGCAACAUCAUUAAUGAAGGCCCUUCGGGAGAGCUACGUCAAUUCACCCGCGGUUCUUCGAGAGGUUAGCGCCAAUUUGUCCUCCGAUGCACCCGCCCCCAUCGCCAAAUCCUUCAAACAGAUUCCUAAGGAGGAGGCCGUCAGCCUCUACCUAGCCCGGCAGUCACGCUUCAAGAAAACCUAAUUUCCCAUUAUUAUUUUUUUCCACGGAC